UACGUAGGGGGCAAGCGUUGUCCGGAUUUAUUGGGCGUAAAGAGCGUGUAGGCGGCCAUGUAGGUCCGUUGUGAAAACUCGAGGCUCAACCUCGAGACGCCGAUGGAAACCAUGUGGCUAGAGUCCGGAAGAGGAGAGUGGAAUUCCUGGUGUAGCGGUGAAAUGCGCAGUUAUCAGGAGGAACACCAGCGGCGAAGGCGGCGCUCUGGGCCGGAACUGACGCUGAGGAGCGAAAGCGUGGGUAGCAAACAGG
rnacentral:rRNA from 1 species